UACGGAAGGCAGCAGUGGGGGAAUAUUGCACAAUGGGCGAAAGCCUGAUGCAGCUAUGCCGCGUGUAUGAAGAAAGGCCUUAGGGGUUGUAAAGUACUUUUCAUCGGGGAGGAAAAAACAAAACUAAUAAUUUUAUUUCUUUGACGUUACCCGAAAAAGAAGCACCGGCUAACUCCGUGCCAGCAGCCGCGGUAAUACGGAGGGUGCUAGCGUUAAUCAGAAUUACUGGGCGUAAAGAGCACGUAGGUGGUUUUUUUAAAGUCAGAUGUGAAAUCCCUGGGCUUAACCUAGGAACUGCAUUUUGAAACUGAAAUACUAGAGUAUCGUAGAGGGAGGUUAGAAUUCUAGGUGUAGCGGUGAAAUGCGUAGAUAUCUGGAGGAAUACCUGUGGCGAAAGCGGCCUCCUAAACGAAUACCUGACACUGAGGGUGCGAAAGCGUGGGGAGCAAACGAGGGAUUAGACUACC
rnacentral:rRNA from 1 species